AUCACCGCUUCAUCACGUCGCGUAUCCGGUUGAUAUCGAUACACCGUCCUGCUCAGCGAUAACGUCCUGCAUGCCUGGCGUAUGCUCAUCGUGAGGCCAGAUAACUGACAAGCUCACGCUUUAUCGCUGGUUUU
rnacentral:sRNA from 1 species